CCUGGUUCUGUGUGUUCAUCAGUGCCUAACCCUACGUGUGUGGACAAACCCUUAACCUGUGACACACCUGUCCAGAACUUCAGCGCUCAGGUAGUGUCGUUAUUAUUACUAUUUAUCAUUUAUCAUUCAUAAAAUGAUAACUCAAGUGUUAAAAUGAUAAUCAAAUGAUAGAAUUCCAAUAAUGAUAAUACUGUCAUACACACAUGGCUCUGCACGCCUGAUACCCACCGUUGUAUUCUGCUACAAGGUAUUAAUAUGCCGGGAGGAAAGGCAAGUAAAUAAUUCACCCAUCUCUGGAGUGUGUGUAUGUUGGCAAACGUUUCAGUACAACCUCCUGUUUUGAUAAAUCACACUUUGUGUGACAGUGUGAGUACGCAGAGUAGACAAAUGAGGCCCAUGGUGUUGUGGGUUGUUUUUCAUUGUGUCAGGCUCAAGUUGCAAGCUGGCAGGCCCCCAAAUAAUAUCAGCAACAGUGAGUGAGUCACAUCCCUAACCUUAUUACAACUUGUUCGCAAGUCGCUCCCGCUGUGUCUCAAUUCAGAGCCCCAAACCCAGCGACGAUCCUGAUUUUGACCCCGGCACCCCCGUCUCCCUCGGCUCCCCGUCUGACUCCCAGCUCAACAAUAUCACACUCAGUCCCUCUGAACGCAGCGAGACAGCCGAUGACGCCGACAACUCCUCCGAGCAACCGGAAGACGCCACGGAGCUCGUCUGCGGCCUAAUUAAAGAGCUGUCCUCCUUGAAUCGGACAGUGAUGGCUGCCCAUCGGGAGCUGGACAACUUGCGUCGUGGCAACAAGGCCUCAAAACCGCCCCAUCGUCAUUCGUACUGCUCCCGCCACAGUGAGAUAUAGACACUGUCUCCAGUUCUGGGGGAAGAUCAUGCAAGCACAAGCUGCUAGGAAUGCCAUGCUACCAGGCAUUGCAGUGACGGAAAAAGAGUGAAGCCCCUCCCACUCUACAUUUAUUCCUUCCUCCUCAUUCACAACCCGUUUAAGGUUUACCCACUAAGCACUCCUCCAAGUGCUCUCUGAUUGGCCCCGAGUUUUACGUAUGUGGGGGGUUCACCUAUGAGAGUAGUGGUAUUUAAAACAUCUCACCUUUUCACAUCACCACUCUGGUGCACACCAGGACAGCACACUCACGUGUGCUCACGGGCGUGCACACACAGACGUUUUCAAUGGCUAUGUUCCCCGUAGUCAUUGUUACACUUCCACCAGUUAGCAGACGACACCUGGAUGAUCGACUUGUGUGGGUUUUUUGUCAUUUUCUGUUCUCGUUGAAGUUCAGUCACAGUCAGUUGGAUUUUCCCAGAGCAUAACCGCACACCCAG